GCUGGCGUAGCUCAGGGGUAGAGCGGCUGACUUGUAAUCAGCAGGUCGGGGGUUCGAAUCCUCUCGCCAGCUCCA
rnacentral:tRNA from 1 species